GAUUUUUUUUUUCUAAUUAAGAACUCUCAUUAGAUAUGAAAGGAGAUGAUGCCAAACUUUCCACGUGGCAUGAAUAUCAAAUUGAAGUGAACAUGCCAAAAUAGCUCAAUGGUAGGUGCCAUUUCAGAUGGACCAAUUUUUUCUGUCCAUCCGUGAGCGUGCUCACUUCUCUUUCUGACAGCUCAAAACUCUUCACAUCUCCCUCGUCUUCACAGCUCAGGCUACUGAAACUUUUUCUUUCGCUUAUAUACCUCCACCUCCACUUUUCUCUCUCUAUAUGUAUCUGUAGAACUCUUGACUUAACUCAAUAUUGAGUGUUAAAAAUGGGAAGAAAAUGAAAAAGUGACACACUGAGGGUUGAGCUCUUCAUCAUGAAGAGAGAAGUUAAAACUGACUUAAGAUCGUAUUUAAUUGAUUUGAUGAAUAUGUAUAUAUGUACGUUAAUCUUAUAUUAUAAUAAUAAGAAUAAUAUAUGAUGGAGCUUGAAAUUGGAAAGCGUGACUUUUCAUGGUCCUCUAUCUGUCCUUGAAGAGGGCGAACUUCUUGUGGUACGCUUGGUUACUGUUUAACUUUAACGGAAAACUACAAUUUUCUUUUGGAAUUUUUAUGCUUUUUCUCGUUUUCACCUUCUUCUUUGCUUAUCAAAUUCAAAACCUGUUCUUGCUCCUCUUUCUCUUGUUUUCGACAUCCAAUUUUCGGUAUUUUCUCCUCUUUUUAGCUUGUCCCAGCUUCGCUACCUUAUGUUUUUGCUUCGUCUUUGUGAUCUGGAUUUGGUUGACAUGAAAACUUUUGUAACUUUGACUCGAUAAUUACUUUUCCUAAAAUGAGAAAAAUGGUUUGUUUUCACUUCUGGGAAAAUAUGCGCGACUUUGUAGCCAUGAAUGAAGUUACCCAAGAAGGCAGUCUUCUUGUACAAGUUGGGAAUCCCUUCUCUGAGCAUGCUGAUUUUGCUCUAUUCUUAUUUUGUUUCCUUCCUAGGGCAGGAGCAAAUUAGGUCUGUUUUUGUUUCCAAUUUAUUUAAGUGUAUUAUUGUUUUCAGCACCAUUUGUUGUUUGGUUCUGGGGGGCAACAACAAACAACUUCUAUUUCCUGGAGCUUAAUCACUCAGGUGCUUUGUUAUGACUUGUGCCUUAUGACUCAAAACCAGAAUACUGAAGCAUAAAAAGGUGUGGAAAUGAUGAAACAAACAAUCAUCCAAGGAUGAAAUUGCCUGGAUUUAAUUGCAACUAUACUUAGGAUAAGAUGCUUAUAUGUCAAGUGCAUUGAGUCAUUUUAUACAUAAUGAGCUAACAGUUUUGUAAUAAUUGAUGAUUCAACUAGGUUGAGAUCAACCACAUGAAAAAUUAGAUUCUAACAGAUGUUGUCAUGCCCCUUAAUUUUAAGUAACUUUUGGUGAAUUCCUCUUGAUAGAAAGACCCUUCAUUUGUUUGGUGGGCAUCUUUGGUCCCAUGAAUAGAUGGCAGCACAAUUCCUCCUGUUAGAAAAAAGGGUAGAUGUUACCUUUCAUUGUAAAGAUCACUAACCAUUAAGUAGUAAUCAAAAGAUAAUAUCCCCUUAAUUCACAUACUACAACAAAUUUCAUAAAAGGUGGAAUAAAUUACAAUCUUAUCUUUUAAAAUGAUCAUUUUGGGAUAAAACUGAAAACGUGUCUACAUAUUUCAUGUCUAAAAUUGAGUGUUAUGCUUUGGUGAACAAAAAUUAAAUUCUUAUCCCCUGCAAAGAUCAUUUUAGAAUAAAACUAAAAACUUUCCUAAAUAUUUUGUUCCUAAAAUUUAAGUGCUAUACUUUGGUGGAUGAAAUCAAACUUUUGUCCCCUAAAUUGAACAUUCUGGGAUGAAAUUGAGAUCAUCACUAAAUUGAAUAUUUUUUGUAGUUGCAAAUAUUGUUCAGUUUUUCAUUUCAUGAGCUUUACAUGCCUCUAACCAUAUUAUUGCAUGUCAUUUCUGUUUCAUUCUUAGAAAGGUGUGUUUUUGAUGAUUAAACAGUGUGACAUACUAUUUUGUUGACAUUUAUGAUUUGGAAAUACAUAAAAAUGUCUCUAAUUAGCAAAGUUGAGUUAGAAUUUAUGUUGCAUAAUAACUUAGAUUCAUUUGUUAUAAACAAGUUCUAGGCUUUCUUAAUUUAAUUGAAUAUUUUAAGAAGCAAAACUAAUCUAAAAAUUCAUUUUAUAUCAAGUGUUUAUUAUAUUUUACCAUAUAUAUGGUUCAUGUGUUAAACUAAAACCAUCUAUUGUUGUAUUUUGGGUGAGCUGCUAUGUCAACAAUUGUGACCAAAGUCUUUCGAGUUCGCCUUGUAGCUUGCUAGAAGUUUCUCAACUUGAUUUCAUUUUGAUCUUUAAAGCCUUUAGUAUAAAUUUUUUACUCAUCAAUUGUAAGAUGUUUGUUCACUAUUUGAAAGGAGUAAAAUUAUGUGUACUAACAUUGAGUACUAAUAUAUGUACUAAUGGUAAUGUGUUAUUUUAUUUUUAAUUAAAAAUUAUCCAAUCAUAUAAUGAUAUGUUAUUGGUAGUAUAUAAAUUAAUAUUCAUUAUUUAAACCCAUAGUUCUAUUGAUUUUAUCAUUGCAUCCGUAUGACAAAAAGUUGGGCAUUGGUGUUUGUGCCUAAAUACUAAUUAGGAAGCAAAAAAAUUUCUCUGAAAUCUUUCUCUGUCAAUGUAGAAUUGAAGAAAAACCAUUUAACAUGUUAUUUGAAUCUAGUCUAAAGCCUAAAGGGUUCCAUAAGACAUUUAGCGGUGGUACAUAUUCACUUACACUAACACACAUAAGGACUUGUUUUCACAUUGGAGGUAGAGAUAUUAGUAUUAAUGUUAAACCUCUACCUAUUAGCUUGAACUUUAGGGUUAACUGGUAACAUAAUAUUCAAGCCAAAACUUUUCAGAUUAGAUGUAAGCCUGACUAAAGGAAUUAUGCAAGAUUGUAAAUCAUUGGAGGGUUAUCUUAUUGAGCUUAUUUUAGGUCCAUUGUUAACUUAAUAGAGGCAAUCGAACAACAUUGUAAACCUAAGAAGCUAAUUUUUUUAUCUAUUUACUAGUUUAAGUUUUUAGGUUAGGUGGUAACUUAUCGUGAUAAUGUUAGGAACUUGGAACCUUUAACACCUGAAUCAGAAUAGGAAACUAAAGCAAACCAACAUACUAGAAAUUGAAUGAAAGAACCUUCACUACUGCUAUUUUAUAUAUGAAGAAGAACACAUUUACAAGAUUGGUCCCUUGCAAUAGGUAAAAAAAAAAAGAAGAAAAAGAAAAAGAAGAAUAAGAAAGAAAACAAACAAAACACAAAAUGAUUACUAACAAUUUAAGGAGCUAGAACCCCCCAAAUUAGCUAAAGGCUAACCAAACAAAACUCAAAUUCUUCUCUUGCUUUUUCGUUGUUGCAACCAACUCUAAUAAAUAUUCCAAUUCAAUUUGGAUCAAUUAAACGAUGUUGCAUAGCACUCCAAAACACAACAUUCACUUAUUCCAAUUCCAAUUUACCUGUUACUUGCCUAUUACAUCUACUUGUCACCUAUAUCUUCACUCCAAUCUUUACAAUUCUAUCAAUUUACCUGCUACCUUCAUCUUCACUCUAAUCUACAUAAUUCUAUCUAUAAACAAUCCUAACAAGUAUCAAAGCCAAAGAUUUCAAAUUUAACUUCCACAAUUUUAACCAGAUAAAAAUAAAACCGAAGGCUCCACGAACUAGUUUAAUAAUCUUUUAAUUUAAUUAUUUACUGAACAUAAGGAAUGGUGCAACUUUGUAAAACCUAAGAGGCUGAUCUUUUUAUCUAAAACAUGGGGAAAAUUGAUAUAUAAAUUAAUAAAAGUUUCUUAUUAGUGGUUGGUAACAUAAAGAAAUAAAACAUUUAACUCAAUGAGGUGUCCUACCUUCUUCACUAUUUUAAGCUUCCUUUGACAAGAAAUAUUUGAAUGUGGUGUGUUAACUAAUGGAUUUUAUCUUCUUCACUACUAUGAGCUACGUUUAAUGAGAAAUAUUUGAAUGUGGUCUGUUGACUAAUGGGUUUUGUUUUUCUUGAAUUAAUAUGCAUUUUCAUCCAUUUAUUUAAGAUUUUAAAUUAGCUUUUGGUAUUGUGAGAGCUGAAAUUGUUUCAGUGUAACUUAAAUCUAUGAAAAUUAGUUAGUGUAGAAGACCAUUUUUCUAGUUGUGUGCAUGAAAAAACAUUUUACAAUAAAUGACAAUGACAAUUCAUUCGUGGCCUUUAGGGGUGGAUUUGCACCAUGCUUAUGGCCAACUCGAGCUUGACUCAAAUUCAUAAUAUACAACUCGAGCUCAAGCUUCUUUGAGCUAGUUUACUGUAUUGUUAGAGGGUUGUCAAUGCAAUAAACAAUUUUACUAGCAAGGUAACAAUAUCAAUGGAGGGAUAAGUAGUGUUGUACAAAAGACAGUAAGUUGAAAUUGAGAGUUUGGCUUGAAUCAACCCCUAUGACCUUAAUUAGAUACACGAGAAAAAGGAGGAAUUUAGAUUCUCUCAUCUGGUAAUAAUAUUUGGUGGACUUGUAAUAAUAAUAUUAGUUAUUAGAAAAUGUUCUAUCCAUUAGGACAAAGAAAUUUGGAUUGCUUAUGUUAUCUUCACUCACUAUCUUUGUAGCUUGUGGUCAAUUGGCAGUUUUUAUCAAUAUCUUUAAAUAUUUGGGAUUCCUAGUUUAUUCACAGCUUAAGAUAAGUUGAUAGUGCCCUAAAUACCCACUGUUUACCCCAGAAAGGUUAUUCUUCUAAAGAUGGAACUAGAAUGUGCUAGUUGUAUAGAUGUGUGCUUCUAUUGACAUAAUUUGAAAUUGGUGUAGGUUGUGAUUGAGGUCAAGAUAUGGAGUAUGGUUUGUGCAACUUUUCAUUCUCCAGUGUCUUUUUUUUGUUUUAGAGUUGUAUAUAAGUUGAUGCUAAGGAAACAUUCAUGGUUAUAUAAUACUCCAUUAAACUGGUUUUUGUAGUGUAACAUGUGCAUGGCACACU